UUUUUUUAAACUCUGCAUCAUGACUGUUGGCGGCCAUUUUGAAUGUGUCGGCCAUUAUGGUAUUAUUUUUUAUUGUUCCAUAUUCAUAAAAGAUUAAUAAGCAAUAUAACUAGCAAUAUGCAAAGUGUUGUGCUUUUAUUUUCAAAUGAUAAAUUAAGGACAUUAAGCCAUAUUUUUGGACUCUGCCUCAUGACUGUUGGCCACCAUUUUGAAAUUGGUGGCCAUUAUGGAAUUAUUUUU
rnacentral:lncRNA from 1 species